rnacentral:rRNA from 1 species
GACGAACGCUGGCGGCGUGCUUAACACAUGCAAGUCGAACGGAAAGGCCCCUUUGGGGGUCCUCGAGUGGCGCACGGGUGAGUAACACGUGAGUAACCUGCCCUUGACUUCGGGAUAACUUCAGGAAACUGGGGCUAAUACCGGAUAGGAAUCCUUGCUGCAUGGUGGGGGUUGGAAAGCUUCGGCGGUUUUGGAUGGACUCACGGCUUAUCAGCUUGUUGGUGGGGUAGUGGCUUACCAAGGCUUUGACGGGUAGCCGGCCUGAGAGGGCGACCGGCCACAUUGGGACUGAGAUACGGCCCAGACUCCUACGGGAGGCAGAAGUGGGGAAUAUUGCCCAAUCGGCGGAAGCCUGAUGCAGCAACGCCGCGUGCGGGAUGACGGCCUUCGGGUUGUAAACCGCUUUCAGCAGGGGCGAAGCUUGUGGUGACGGUACCUGCAGAAGAAGCACCGGCUAACUACGUG